rnacentral:rRNA from 1 species
CCCGGCGGGGGACGAACAGUCCGAAAGGAUUGCUAAUACCGCAUACGUCAGCGAGGCCUACGGGCCUUGUUGGGAAAGAUGGCCUCUCCUUGGAAGCUGUCUCCGGAAGAUGAGCCCGCGGCCCAUCAGCUAGUUGGUGAGGUAAUGGCUCACCAAGGCUUAGACGGGUAGCUGGUCUGAGAGGAUGAUCAGCCACACUGGGACUGCGACACGGCCCAG